GGUGACUAAGUUAUUUCUGUUAUUUCCCAGAUUUUGAAUUCACCCCCCACCCACCAAGAUAAAACAUUCUUUGCUUGUCCCUGUGAUUUCCUUACUAGUCUGUUUUAUUUCUUUUCCAAAGGCUCUUUUUGCCCCAAUUGAAAUUGAUUAUUCAGCUCAGGCUUAUUGAGUCCUAAAUUAGGUUGAUGUUCACAGGGAAUAUUUAUUUUCAUUCUACUUUUUCAGUCAGCUUUUCUACACCCUCCUACUUAAGGUUAGUUGCUGGUAUGCUCCAUACAGUUCUGUUUUGAACCUUAGUCUUACAUGCUUUUUUACCCCCCUCUUCUGGAAAUAUGGAUUAUGAUUAUUUUAUUUCUGUUAGCAUCAGGGUCUUUCUCCAGAUCUGAUGUUCUCUCAAAAGCCUGCAUGUUGUGAUCUGUACCAAAGUGAGUUAUUGGCCCGUGUUUGCUCAUUUCCUUUAUUUUGAGUCUUUCCUGUGGUUGGAAUCAUUCGUGAUACUACUGAUCAUUAAUCCUGUACUCUGAGGAUAUGAAUAUGAUUUUUUUUCUAGUUCCAGAGAUGCACUCCAGCUUUGCAUUUUGGUUGGCAAAAUGACCAGAGCUUGGACAAAAGGCCAUGAGUGACACACAAACACAGGCCUGAAAUUAUCGUAUUACAGAACAGUUACCACGUUCGUGUGAAUGGCUAAGCAAAGGUCAAAAAUAUGAGCAACAUUAUUUAUGGCUCAGUGAGUGAUUUGAUAUUCACAGUCUGUCAUCAUUUGUCAGAAGACUGGUAUUAUCAAAACUGUGCCAGGCUAAGGACUAUCUAAAAAAUGAUUUGAGACAAGCUCAGUAUACAGUAAAAA
rnacentral:lncRNA from 1 species